rnacentral:rRNA from 1 species
AGCGAACGCUGGCGGCAGGCCUAACACAUGCAAGUCGAACGGACCUUUCGGGGUUAGUGGCGGACGGGUGAGUAACACGUGGGAACGUGCCUUUAGGUUCGGAAUAGCUCCUGGAAACGGGUGGUAAUGCCGAAUGUGCCCCUAGGGGGAAAGAUUUAUCGCCUUUAGGGCGGCCCGCGUCUGAUUAGCUAGUUGGUGAGGUAAUGGCUCACCAAGGCUACGAUCAGUAGCUGGUCUGAGAGGAUGACCAGCCACAUUGGGACUGAGACACGGCCCAAACUCCUACGGGAGGCAGCAGUGGGGAAUCUUGCGCAAUGGGCGAAAGCCUGACGCAGCCAUGCCGCGUGGAUGAUGAAGGUCUUAGGAUUGUAAAAUCCUUUCACCGGUGAAGAUAAUGACUGUAGCCGGAGAAGAAGCCCCGGCUAACUUCGUGCAGCAGCCGCAGUAA